UACAGCCCUACCUAUUACAAAGGUGUAAAAUUACCCGUUGCUCCAAGGGUCAUCGUUUGUUUUGAUGGUUACUUUUAUAUAAUAUAUUACAGAUGGACUACAUAAACACCUCGCACCCAAAUUUUGUUGGUGGGAGUAAAGCGGUUGAGAUAGCGUUGCAGCAAGUCAAAUCCUCUAAGAUUGCAUCAACAAUACCAAAGCAAAAGCUAAGGAGCUAAGUUUGGAUGUGUUGAAUCAAUAUCUGGAGAAGAAGAUAUUUCCGAAACUCAAAAGACCUUUUGCGGUGGUUUACAUCCACACCGAAGUUUGUAAGAGCGAGAAUUUUUCCGGAAUAUCCUUUCUCCAGUCAGUUUACGAUUCGAUUCCGGUCACCGUCAAACAGAAUCUCGAAACGGUUUACUUCGUUCAUCCAGAUCUACAGUCCAGGCUCUUCCUCGCCACAUUCGGCCAUUUCAUCUUCACCGUAGGGGAUCACGAAGUUCAUGGGCGGGGAGACGUGGUAAAUGGGCAAGAGGAAGAGGAAGAUUCAGAGCCACCAUGAUUGUAAUGACUUUUCUUAACUGAACUGGCCGAGCAGGUGGGUGGAGCUGCUAUCAGUCGCAGAUUUCAUUGAAGCCUUUAUGAUGUGUAUUGCAUGAGCGCUGCACAUCUGCGUGUGCACUAUAAAGGCAAGAAGCAUCUAUGGGUCAGGCAAGCUGGAGAGGGUAUGGCAUAUAUGAAAAAAUGAAUAGGAUUUAGAGGAUGCAGAUGAUGAUGAGGUUUGUAAGACCUGUAUAAGAUGCAAUGAGUUCACCAAGUACUAUAGAGCUGAGAGUUGAAAUGGACUUAUUUAUGCUUUUAAGUAUAUUUUACAUUAAGUUCCAAUUUAUUUUGUUUUUAAUGAUGUUUUUAUGGUCAUUGAAUUGAAAGUUGAUGAAUAAUUUAACUA